UCCAGACUCCUACGGGAGGCAGCAGUGAGGAAUAUUGGUCAAUGGCCGGAAGGCUGAACCAGCCAAGCCGCGUGAAGGACGAAGGUGCCAAGCAUUGUAAACUUCUUUUGUCAAGGGACAAAAUCAGGCUCGAGAGCCUGACCGAGGGUACUUGAAGAAAAAGCAUCGGCUAACUCCGUGCCAGCAGCCGCGGUAAUACGGAGGAUGCGAGCGUUAUCCGGAUUUAUUGGGUUUAAAGGGUGCGUAGGCGGGCUGUUAAGUCAGCGGUAAAGGCCGGGGGCCAACCCCCGGCGAGCCGUUGAAACUGGCGUUCUUGAGUGAGCGAGAAGUAUGCGGAAUGCGUGGUGUAGCGGUGAAAUGCAUAGAUAUCACGCAGAACUCCGAUUGCGAAGGCAGCAUACCGGCGCUCAACUGACGCUCAUGCACGAAAGCGUGGGUAUCGAACAGGAUUAGAUACCCGAGUA
rnacentral:rRNA from 1 species